GUGAAGCCAAGCUUGCUUGGUGGAUCAGUGGCGAACGGGUGAGUAACACGUGAGCAACCUGCCCUGGACUCUGGGAUAAGCGCUGGAAACGGCGUCUAAUACUGGAUAUGAGACGUGAUCGCAUGGUCGUGUUUGGAAAGAUUUUUCGGUCUGGGAUGGGCUCGCGGCCUAUCAGCUUGUUGGUGAGGUAAUGGCUCACCAAGGCGUCGACGGGUAGCCGGCCUGAGAGGGUGACCGGCCACACUGGGACUGAGACACGGCCCAGACUCCUACGGGAGGCAGCAGUGGGGAAUAUUGCACAAUGGGCGGAAGCCUGAUGCAGCAACGCCGCGUGAGGGAUGACGGCCUUCGGGUUGUAAACCUCUUUUAGCAGGGAAGAAGCGAAAGUGACGGUACCUGCAGAAAAAGCGCCGGCUAACUACGUGCCAGCAGCCGCGGUAAUACGUAGGGCGCAAGCGUUAUCCGGAAUUAUUGGGCGUAAAGAGCUCGUAGGCGGUUUGUCGCGUCUGCUGUGAAAUCCCGAGGCUCAACCUCGGGCCUGCAGUGGGUACGGGCAGACUAGAGUGCGGUAGGGGAGAUUGGAAUUCCUGGUGUAGCGGUGGAAUGCGCAGAUAUCAGGAGGAACACCGAUGGCGAAGGCAGAUCUCUGGGCCGUAACUGACGCUGAGGAGCGAAAGGGUGGGGAGCAAACAGGCUUAGAUACCCUGGUAGUCCACCCCGUAAACGUUGGGAACUAGUUGUGGGGACCA
rnacentral:rRNA from 1 species